rnacentral:rRNA from 1 species
CCGAGUUUAAGCAUAUCAUAAGCGGAGGAGAAGAAACUUACGAGGAUUCCCCUAUAANCGGCGAGCGANCCGGGAUAGNCCCAGNCAUNGGAAUCGGGAUNCCUGCAGCAGCCCGAAUUGUAGUCUGGAGAAGCGUCNUCAGCGACGGACCGGGCCCAAUCCCCUGGAAAGGGGCGCCGGGGAGGGUGAGAGCCCCGUUCGGCCUGAACCCCUAUCCCAACACGAGGGCGUUGUCGGCGAGUCGGGUUGUUUGGGAAUGCAGCCCUAAUCGGGCGAUAAAUUCCGUCCAAGGCUAAAUAUAGGCGAGAGACCGAUAGCGAACAAGUACCGCGGGGGAAAGAUGAAAAGGACUUUGAAAAGAGAGUCAAAGAGUGCUUGAAAUUGUCGGGAGGGAAGCGGAUGGGGGCCGGCGGUGCGCCUCGGCCUGAAGCGGAAUGGUUGUGGCUUGUUCGCUGCUCGGCUCGAGGCGCGGAUCGUUGCAGGCCUUCCCGACGGCAGGAGCCCGGGCGAUCGAUGCUCGAGGAGGCACCGUCGGGGCGGUCGGCCAACACAGCACGCGCUGAUCAGGCGAGCCUUACAGGGCUCUCGCGUGUCCGUCGCAACGGCCCGUGGGCUCCCCAUUCGACCC